GUAGGUGAACCUGCGGAAGGAUCAUUAACACGUAUCCACGUAUCAGCCCACAGUGUCACGAGUGCGCGUUGUCUACCGCGCGUGCUCAGUUUUCUUUUUUCCACAAUGAAUUUUAACCACUUGAACCCAUCAGACUAAAACUAUUUCGUGCUUCUUUUGCGCAAGCAAAAGAAACCGAAACAAUAAAAUAACAAGAAACAACUCUUAGCGACGGAUUUCUUGGCUCCC
rnacentral:misc_RNA from 1 species